rnacentral:rRNA from 1 species
UACGAAGGGGGCUAGCGUUGUUCGGAAUUGCUGGGCGUAAAGCGCACGUAGGCGGACAUUUAAGUCAGGGGUGAAAUCCCGGGGCUCAACCCCGGAACUGCCUCUGAUCCUGGGUGUCACGAGUUCGAGAGAGGUGAGUGGAAUUGCGAGUGUAGAGGUGAAAUUCGUAGAUAUUCGCAGGAACACCAGUGGCGAAGGCGGCUCACUGGCUCGAUACUGACGCUGAGGUGCGAAAGCGUGGGGAGCAAACAGG